GACGAACGCUGGCGGCGUGCCUAAUACAUGCAAGUCGAGCGCAGGAAGCUGACGGAACUCUUCGGAGGGAAGGCAGUGGAAUGAGCGGCGGACGGGUGAGUAACACGUAAGGAACCUGCCUCAAGGAUUGGGAUAACUCCGAGAAAUCGGAGCUAAUACCGGAUAGUUCAACGGACCGCAUGGUCCGCUGAUGAAAGGCGCUCCGGCGUCACCUUGAGAUGGCCUUGCGGUGCAUUAGCUAGUUGGUGGGGUAACGGCCCACCAAGGCGACGAUGCAUAGCCGACCUGAGAGGGUGAUCGGCCACACUGGGACUGAGACACGGCCCAGACUCAUACGGGAGGCAGCAGUAGGGAAUCUUCCACAAUGGACGAAAGUCUGAUGGAGCAACGCUGCGUGAGUGAUGAAGGUUUUCGGAGCGUAAAACUCUGUUGUAAGGGAAGAACACGUACGAGAGGGAAUGCUCGUACCUUGACGGUACCUUACGAGAAAGCCACGGCUAACUACGUGCCAGCCGCCGCCGUAACAC
rnacentral:rRNA from 1 species